UACGUAGGGGGCGAGCGUUGUCCGGAUUUAUUGGGCGUAAAACGCUUGUAGGCGGCCACGCCAAGUCGGAUGUGAAAUCUCCCGGCUUAACUGGGAGGGGUCAUCCGAUACUGGGCGGCUAGAGUCUGGUAGGGGGAUCUGGAAUUCCUGGUGUAGCGGUGGAAUGCGCAGAUAUCAGGAGGAACACCGGUGGCGAAGGCGGGAUCCUGGGCCAGUACUGACGCUGAGGAGCGAAAGCGUGGGGAGCAAACAGGG
rnacentral:rRNA from 1 species